CAGCAGGAGAACGUGGGGCCAGAAAAAAAGCACCGAGCUUGAGGGACUAGACUAAUCAAAAAAUGAAAUAACAUGGCAACAAUUACACUGAUGAGUGAGAGGGAGGCUACGGAUGCAUUGAGACACCUAUGGCACCGCAGACUCCACGCAUUCAGCAUUCCGUGUUUAGUGUCUUGUGUUUUUGAGAGCAGGUGAUGAACAGCAUGAUAAAGGAUGGUGAUAGCCACUUUUCAAAUGUGGAGCUAUCCGCCCACAGCUCCUCAGCUUCUCAAAACAAGUCUGUGCCAAGUUGUACAAGAUGGAGGAUGAAUGACAAGACCAUCCAGUGACAAGUGUCUUCACUGUGCAAGCAACAGCUCCUGUCAUUGGACUCAUGUAAUCAUCCAUCUAUCCAUCCAUCAUUCAUUCAUUCAUUCAGCACAAUAUCGCGAGUUCUGAACUAUGCUGUGAAGCUUACACGAGACCGCCUGUGGGAAGCUUUUAACACACUGCCUGGCCCAUGGAACUAUUGGGCCAGUGCCUACUGUGUGCUCUGAGCACCGAGUUGAGGGAACUAGUGGAAAGGAGAGAGUCCAGCUGCUUCCAGCCAGUCAAGGAGGCUGUCCAAGUAAUGUGUAUGAGGAAGGAAUGCUGCCCAGCACAACCAGUGUUGCAGGGGAGCGAAGCUGUUAUCCACCAUCAUGGAAACAAGCAAAUCAUGGCUUCCAAAGUCCUAAAGAAAUUUGCAUUCCAAAUCAACCACAAGGUAUCAGUGCUAGAAUGGUAACCUGAACCACCAAUGAAAGGUAAAGAAACUGAGUGUUUUUUGUCUUGUUUUCUGAAUCAGUAAUGAUACAUUCUGAGAACCUAUGUUAAGUUUCUGACAGAGGCCAUUGAUCUGACUCCAUCUCAGAGGGGAGUUAUGUCCAGACUUGUGUUUCAGCAACUUAGGAAAGAAGCGUUGCUUGGCUUUCUUGUAGGCUACCUCCAAGAGUUUCCACUGUUUUGAAAACAGGGUGUUCCAUUUGGUAGCCCAGUGGGAUGGAACCUUCCUGAUCUACUUUGAGGGGCUUGUUUGGAGCUUCUAGCAGAGGAGCACAGUUACUCAUGUACCCUUGACUAAAGAUCAAUCCUACUCCAUGGAGAAGAUCAAACUCUUCCGCAAAAGUGCAAUUCUGGGAAGGACAUAUGUGGAGCAGCAGGAGAAAGGCCACAGCCACCUAGACAGUCAGAUCAGCUGAUUGAAUCCUGGUGAUGAUGAAGUGAUGGAUGUCACACCAGAUUAUCUAAUUUACAUCCCUAAUAUGCUUAGUGGAGGAGAUCACACUACCACCUCCAUUACCAAAUUCCUGUCAAUUAUGGAACACUUGGUUUGUUCCCAGCCUACACUAGUAUAUGGGUGACACCUCCUUGACUUGUAAGUAUCUAACAACUACCCUACAACAGUGGUUCUCCAAUCUUAACAAAUGUUAGAUUCACCUGAGGGGUGUUAAGGCAGAGUAUUGGUCCCUACCCUCUGAGUUUUUGAUUCAGUCAGUCUGGUACGGAGAUUGAGAUCCUGGGAGCCAUGCUGCUCAGCUGAGGGACAGCUCAUUAAGAGCCUGCUCUAAAAAGUCAGCCCUUGUAUGCCUCCUAUCUCAGAGACAGAGAAGCAAGAGUUAGGAUUAUGUGAAGUCACAUGGCCAUUGAAAAUUCAGGGUUAAGUCCAAGUCAGUUGACCCAAAGCCAACAAAAAGAAGCAUUUUUUUCCACAUGAUUCUUCAUAACCAGAAAUAUGCUCAAGAUUUUCCAAGGCCGACCCCUUGCAUCACAUCUCACCACCCUCGCUUUUUGCUAUUUAUAAAUGAAAUUUUUGCUCCAAUAACUUAACUUUCCCUCUUUCCUUCCUAUUCAUCUUUUACUAUCACUUUCUAUUGUUAAAUUCAAUCCAAAAUCUCCUUCUCUGGGCAAUUUUUUUAAUUGACUUUGUUCUAGUUCUAGGAUUGCUCAUUGGCAUUUCUAGGCUGGUGCUAAAUGGGUUUACAUGUCUUGAGAAGCUGUUUUCAGAAUAUUCUUUACAUAUCCAAGUGUUUUCUGACUCUCCAAAUAGACUAAAAGUCCUUUGGGAGCAGAGAUUGCUGUUGUCAAGUCCCCACUGGUUCUCACUGCUCCAUUAACUUGAGGCUCAUCGAUUACUUUCUGAGCUUGGCGGUGGGCUCACCCUAUUGCUGACAACAAGAAGUCUGGUUGCUUUCAUCAACCCUACAUUUCACAGGACCUUCUAAUUCUGAGAUUGAACUGGGACUGGGGCAUUUCAUUUAUUUGCUGGGAAAGUCUAAAAUACAAGAAAUCAAGGUUUUCUGUGUUGGCGAGAGUGGGUGGAGAUGGUGAGGUUAAGAAGACUGGCUGAGGAUAUAUAAUUAAAAUUGAACUCUGAUUGCAACAUUUUCUGCCAGGAAUCUCUUUGAAAAACAUUAAUGAAAGAUAAGAGUUCAUUUCCAACAGUUUUUCCUGAAAUAAAAGAAGAACGAUUGUCCUUUCAAAAGACAGAGACUGGGUAACUGAGAUCAAAGAGAGUCUUUCUGAAUUUAUCCAACUUGGGUGUUUGAUGACUGAGUGGUAUCAUUGUUCCCAUUGGUGCAUUAAUUAACCUGUUAACCAAUUUAAAAAUUGAAAGUAAGUUCCUUGAACAAUCAUAACAUUGUAUAUACAGACAUCCAUAAUGUAUAUUGUAGUGUCUAUUCAGAAUGGUUACAAAGGCAAUGAUUCGUAGCUCAAUUAGCAAUUGGUUACAUUCAUUAGAACUGGUAAGCAUGUUAAGCUAUGAUGUUGAAGAUGGAUGUGCAAUGGAGGUCUAUAGGUUUCUUUCUUUAGGCAAUGAUUCCACUAACCACAGAGGGAUACCAUCCAGAAUUACAGUGCUGUGUGAUGCUAGACUGCUUCAGCUCCGUUGUUUACCUUUCUGCUCUCUGGCUGGAACGGUGAGACAACUCUACACCCUGACGGUAGUGAGAAAAGCCAGAGUUCCUGGGUCUUGGUGAGUGUGCUGUAUCCAGGGAACAAACCCAAAGGUCACUGUGGAAUGUCCAAGCAGUUCUCAACAUGCAGGGACUGAAAAGAAGCUGCCAGAAGAUAACAGUGUAAGACAACAAAGACACUCUCUUUAAAAGUGUCUUCACUCUUUAUUGUUACCUUUAUGCUCCUUUCUCUCCACUGGUGUUUUUCUAGUCCAAACCCACAUCAAGACACACAUGUAUGGUGAUAUUUUAUUUGUGCUGAAAUGUGAUUUUAUUUGUAUGUUAAUAAAGUUGCCUCGAGAUCAGAAGUCACAGAGAGCCAUAAGCAGGAGUAAGGCGGUGCUAGCAUGUCCUUAAUCCAAUCACAUGGCAGGCAGAGUAUCUGUGGUCAAGGACACAUCCACAGCAAGGUGACCUGAACUUUUAAUCCCAGUACCAACCAUAGAAGCCUAGAUGUCUGUAUAAACAAGCAGUGACGAGGAAAUCAUAGAGCCAAUGAGAAGGCAGAACAGAAAGGCAAUAAAAAGGACACAGAAAGAAGGUCUCUCUGUCUCUCAGGGGAAGGACAGCAGUGGGUAGUAAGAUAAGGUGGUCUUAGCUCUUGGCUACUGCUCUGAUCUCUGGGCUUUUAACUCUGCAUUUGGCUCUGUGUUUCUUAUUUAAUAAGACCAUUUAGAAUUUCAACUACACACAUGCCUCCUUCCCCAUUCUGUUUCAACUAUAGGAGUGUUCUUGUCGCUAACGCAUCCUUUUCCUAGGACCCACCAUACCACCAUACCCGAGUGAAAGGCAGUUCUUGGGGUUAUUAUCCUCCAUUUCCAGCACUGAGAUUAGACGGCAAAAGCCUAGUGAGGAAAGAGGUGGGAAGACCCCCUUAGAGAGAAAUGGGCUGAGGAGUAUAGACAAUUACCUUUUCUCAUCAGAGUCCCCAAGACAUGGGAGAUGAGACUGAAUAAGGUUUCUUGUAUGACUUUGACUUAUAUCAUUUGUAUAAAUGUAAAUACAUAUACAGAGAGAGAAAAUAAAUGAAUAAUAUUUUGAGGUAGGGUGAGAAGAGGAAAUGGGGAAAUGUGUAGCUAAAGAAACAAAGUAGAAGAUAUACAGAUGAACAAAUCCAGAGACCUAAUAGACAGUAGGAGUAUAGUACCAAAUAGUAGUGUGUUGUAGCAAGGAGUUUUUCUGAAUGUACACACACACACACACACACACACACACACACACACACACACACACAAACACACACACACACUACAAAUUGGAAGAUGAUGAAUAUGUUUACUCACUUCUCUAUAGUAAUCAUUUUAUUGUCUCUAUGUAUUAUGUAACUUCAUGCUGUAGAUGCUAAAUGAUAGUCUAUGAAGUUUAUUUUUUAGAAUUUAGUUUUACAAACAAAAGUCUAUAAGCAAAGUAUGAUAUGUGAAUGAUGUGUUUCCUUUGGUAAUCUUGCAAAGACUGUCAUUAACAUCCAAGUAUGGGGGCUCACUCCUGUAACACCCGAAUUUGGGUGCAGACAAGAGGGUUGCCAUAAGUUCCAGGGCAGCUUGGGAGCUAGAAAGUGAAACUCUGUGUCAGACAGACAGACACAGAGAGAAAGGGAGAGAAUGGGGGAGAAAGAAGGAAAGACAGGGAGACUGAGAAUUUGUUAACCAUAAAGGUAGCCUUAUUCUUCCUUAGCAGACAUCAUUGAUAAGUGUAAAGCAAAAUUUAAUCUAGUUGGAUGAAUUUCAAGCACAUCAUAUCUUAUUUUACAGAAUCUGGGCACUUAGUAAGGAGAAGUGAUUAUAGUAAAGUAAGGGAGUUAUACUGAAGUUUUUUUUAAAAAAACUGAUAGGGAAUGGGAAGAGAUUAACUGUGAUGAUGGAACUUGUUGGCUAAUGUUUCCUAUUAUGGAACUCAGGCUAUGCAAGUGUGUGCAUUUUUCAGAACUUAGUGUACUUGUCUAUGCAUUCAUUGUGUGCAAAUGUCACUUUAAAAAUGGAACAUUUAAAAAUUGAGCUACAAUUAAUGAUGCUCUUAUUGUACUAAUAGCCAUAGUUAACUAUUUGAAAGGCUUCAAAAGAUAAACAUGGAGAGAAAUAGAUAAUAAAUUUGUGUGUUGUAAGAAAAGUAUAGUAAUUAUGUGAUAGUAAAAUCUAGAUGUGGGUAAAUGGAUGUCGAUUGUAAAUCCCUUAAGCUUUGUAUUUGAACUUUUUCAUAAUGAAAUAAGAUCAUUGUUGAGAUGUUUAACAUCAUUCAUCAGCUAAUUACUAUGAUUUUUGAGUAUCCUAAUUAUUCUAGUGACUGAACAAAACUGAUGCUUUAAUAAAUCUCAUGAUAGCCUCUAAUGUUGUGUUUAAGAAACAUCACCUGGCUUUGCGUAUUCCCUGUAGAAAGCAAUUCUUUAUGGAAACGAUGCCCAUCUUCCAACCACACAGAAUGCUGGUUUUGAGGGGGAGGGAGCAGCCUUGGAUGUCCUCAGAGACUGGCACAUGCUUGUCUACAUUUGCUGCUACAUUAAUCUUAGCCUCAUUUUUAUCUGUUUAAGAUAGUUCUGUGACUUUUCUCCUAUUUUUAUUGUGUGAAAAACUCCACAGUGGUGACAUUUGAAUUGGAUGUGAAGUAUGAGUAGCAAUUCACCAAGAAAGAGCUGGGUGUGAUUGUCCAGCCUCGAGAUCCCAGCACUCCAGCACUUAUGAAAACAGGCAGGAAAAUAGUUGAGUUUGAGGCCAGUCUGUGCUGAACUUUGAGACUCUGUCUCAAUGAAACAAACAAACAAAACAAAGCAAAAAAGAACAAGAGUGGAGGAGAAUGUGCCAUUUCUCCUCUUGGCUAUUUUGACUUUUAGGGGUGCUGUUUAACUCAUGAAUUCAACAUCAGAGUGAAGGAGCACAGGAAUUGCAAUUUUCUAUUUCAAACACAUGCCAUGGUGGACCACUCUCAACAUCAAUCUAGCAUGUGCACAGACCUUAUAGAGGACCUGCCUCAGGAACUCGGCCUGGACACAGACUGAGUACUCAACAAAAGAAUUAGAUGACGUGAUGCAUGCAAGAGACCUGGUAUCAUACUUAGCUUCUAUUUCUUAGACUAGAUGGCAGUUCUAUUGGUAUCAUCACCAUCAUCAUCGCUGUUGAUGUUGCGAGCAGCAGAAGCAAGAGCUUCUCCAUCUUCAGCCCCUUGGUACUCAUUAUCGCUGUACAGAUGACUUCCGAGUGGAUCAAGCCAGGCACUUUUGGAAUGACAGUCAAAGCCUACAUUUUUACUAUCUUUGGGGAAGAAUAUUAUAGCUGACCAGUUGGUGGAGCAAGCACAUUUCCAUGGCUCUUGACGGCUAUCUGUGCAGACGGGCUAAAAAAUCAAGAGACCCGGAUGCUGCUACUCAUCAAAGAGGAAAAAUUCUUAAACUCUAGGACUGAAUUACCUUUGUUGAAUGAAUGAAUUAUUCCUCAACGUAUCUGUUACAAGAUUUUUCAACUAGCCUGCUUCCUAACAUUUAUGAACUGCCUCUCUGAGAUAAGUCCUUUAUCAUGUCUAUCUUUAUAUCUCCCAAUGAAAAUGUCCCCUCUGGUUUCCCAUGCCAAUCUAUUUCUUUCCUAACUAUAAAAACAGACUCUACCCCCCCCUUUCUUCAAUAGUCCUAGUGAAAAUAUAUUAACAAACAUAAAGGCCUUUGUGUUUACAUAAAUGGACAUAAACAAAAACAUAGAUUUGCUGUCAUUUCCAAAGCAUUUCCAUCUUAGUUUGGUUUUUACUAGCAUGUGAAUUCUUCCUGCAAAAAUCUACAUCAUCCAUUAUUCUAAUUUUUCCUUGACUAAUAGAAAUCCCACAAUUGACUUAUGACUUAUAAGGGCCUUAGAAAAACAUUAAAUUAAUGUUCUUUUAAAAAACACAUUCACUUUUGUCCAUGCUUGGAAUUCCCAAAUAGGAGCAUUAUAAAAUGGAACAAAAUAGGAACACUGAGAAGUUAAAAGAUGUGGCCCGAGUUGAAUGCCACUGAAAGAACAUCAUGAGAACUUUGGAGAAGUCACUCUCCUCGGGUAGACACAGAGAAUGGGGAACCAGACAGGCCCACUUGAGCUGGAGAAACAAUGGCCCGUGGCGGGUCCUAUGCCUCAGUGCCAAACAACAAUGCAGAGACCUCUUGACGGAUCCUGGCGUCGUCGCGAGUGG